UUCUUGAAACCAAUUACAUCAAUAUUUAUCCAAAUAUAUAGAAAGCAAUUUUGAUAAGACCUGUUAGUUUUAUAUUCAAGAAAAAAGAUUGCACUAUUGCAUUGUGUUUUCAGUUUUCCCCUUUGUUAAAGUUAUGCUUCCAGAACUCUUAUUUAUUGCAACAUUUUAAUUUAGUUUAAAAAAGUUUACCCAUUACAUUGAUUAUGUUUUGUGGUAUGUGUUUGUAGAAGCUGUCAUCACAUGUUUUAUUUUUAUUGGAAAGACAGAGAAGAAGUUUUCUUGAAACCGGAUCCUCUCACCCCAAAUAUCAACUUAUACGCCCCAACCCCUCUGAAGCGAACACUUGAAAUAUUCUUUCGUUUGAUCUCAGCAAACCAAAUGUCCAGAAUCUUGAAGCAAAGCAGAGACAUAACGAUUGAUUUUCAUCCACUUUUUUCUUCGAUAUCUCUGCUUUCACCCAAAUCGACGCUUCUCACAGGCGAUGGCCAUAGUGGACAGAGGGUUUGUUUUUUCCAGUCUGAUUCCACUAUCUGUUCCUCAAUUUUACAAGCGUGAGAUCAGGAAGACAGAGAAGAAAUUUUGGUUAUAUUUACUGCUGCUGUUAUUCUUUUUCAGCAAGAUGCCAAGAAGUUGGUUCACGUUAUGAGAUGUUGGCUGAAUUGUCGAGAAGAGAGGGAGAUGCAAACAUAAAACCUGAUCCAGAUAUCGAUGUCUUCAUGAAGGCUGCUGCUACUGAAGGUUAAGAAGGUAGCGUACUCACAGAUUAUACUCUCAAGCUAUUGGGAUUUGGAACAUCUCAUCUCUUUUGAAGGACAGGGUUAGGAAAAUUAAAGGAAACCCUGAUUUCUGUUGCUUCAUCUCUCAACAAAAUACUAUAAAUCAAGAAAAAACUGUAAAUCAAGGUGAACUACCACAUAUUAUAUACCAGGUUUGUUGUCUAUAUAUGUUUUUGUUUUUAGAGUAUUCACUAUCUGAUUUGCUGAUGCUUUUUAGAUAUUGUUCAAGAAUCUUGAUUUGGACAUGAAGGCAGUUACUCCAUUUCCCUGCUGUUCCUUUGGUUGAAGAUAUGAAUAUGUUUUUUAUUUUUCUCUUUUGAUUGCAACUGCCAACUAGAUAAUUAAAAACUGUUUGCUGAAAAACUUAUUGAUCCUUUACUUUUGCAGGGUGCUUCCAAUGGUAAUGGAUAAGGCAAGGGUAUUAAAGAUAUAUAGUUUCUACUAUAAAUAUUGUCCAGAAGAGUGUUUCAAGCAACAAUGGCACUUGUUUUAAAGAUAAUUAUGAAUACCAUGGUUUGAAUAAUGCAAGUGAAUCCCUUAAACAUGCCAUGCAACGUGCUAUUGGGAUGUGCAUCAAUUGAGAAGCUUCUGUCCAAAAGGGGCAACAAUUUAAUCUUUUAUCUCUCUUGUUGAAGCACUGAAGAUGAGUGAUACAAGAGUAUUGUUGUCUGCUCUUCACAAUGUCAUUUAGAUUUUAUCCAAUUGCUAGAAUCCACCUGAGUCGCUUGUUGACCGGUUUAACUGGUAAGUUAUUGGCGACAAGGUGUCUAGUUGGUAUGCAUUUGAUGACGUGUCAAUUACAUGCCAUGUCACCUCACCAAAACUUACCGGUGGUUAAAUUGGGAAUAGAACAUUUUUUCAGUGGAACCAAAACUCUAUGAUUCUUGGAUGGAACAGGUGACACAGCAUCCUGUUCUGCUCUGUUCUAAACCUGUUUCCUAAUAAUUAAUUAUUCUCAUCUUAUUACAUCAUUUUUAACUCCUUAAUUUAUCAAUCUAAUCAUUAUUAAUUUCAUUCUUGUAAAACCAGGUGUCUAUGCCAUUUAAUGACUGGUUUUCCACUUUUCACAGCGGAAGUGGACAGAUGGUUUCUCUUUGCCAGUUUUAUUCCACCAUUUGUUUCUCAAUUUCAGAAUCUUGAGGUAUUUUUGAAUCCUUUUGGUUUUAAUCUGUUAACCAAAUUACUAGAGGUGGGAAGUUCCUUUGUUGCAUUAAACUUACACUUUUAUUGGGCUUGUGACCUGUUUUUUUUUUUAUUAGAUUAGGGAUUCUGUUAUGGAAUACUAUAAUUGUAGGUUGUUUGUGCCUUUUUAAUUUUCAUGAACACAAACUAAUGUUUUACUCUUUUUACAGGAUGUUGCCACCUGAAACCAUGGUGGGCCCCUUCAAACCCAACCUCAUCUGGAAACCAACAUCUCCAAAGGUUAAUUUCCUGAAACCAAUUAUAUCAAUAUUUAUCCAAAUAUAUAGAAAGCAAUUUUGAUAAGACUUGUUAGUUUUAUAUUCAAGAAAAAAGAUUGCACUAUUGCAUUGUGUUUUCAGUUUUUCCCUUAUUAAAGUUAUGCUUUCAGAACUCUUAUUUAUUACAGCAUUUUAAUUUAGAAAAGUUUACCCAUUACAUUGAUUAUGUAUGGCUUUUGACUUAUGUUUUGUGGUAUGUGUUUGUAUGAGCUGUCAUCACAUGUUAUGGGAAAGACAGAAGAAAUUUUCUUUUACGAAUUAUAUUCAUAUCAAGUCCAAGUGGGGAUCCAGAAAUAGCAAAUUGCUUUCAUUUCAUACUCCAGGUAUGUUUUACCACUAAACCACUCUAUAUUUUGUUGUGUGUCAUAAAUUCAGUGUUGGGUAUGUCAUGUUCAUGUUCAUGUCCUGCUCCUCUUAUUCUUUUACAAUUAGCAUGGUGCUUUAAUUUUAUUUUGAAAAAACUUCCCAUUAAAUCAUUGUACAUUCAAAAAACAUCCGUUUUGCAUUGAAUGUUCAUCAAUGCAUUUUAUUUUUGAAAAAAAAAUCCGAUUAAAGCAUUCCAAAACUUCCAUUUUACGUUGAUUUUUCAAAAAUCAUUCCAUUUUCAGCAUUGCACUUUCACUUUUUCUUUGUUUAACAUCAUUGAAACUUCACUUUUUUCAUCUAUGCAUUUUAUUUUGAAAAAAAAAAUCCAGUUAUAGCAUAAUCAUCCCAUUUUUGUAAAACCAGGUGUCUAUGCCAUUUAAUGACUGGUUUUCCACUUUUCACAGCGGAAGUGGACAGAUGGUUUCUCUUUGCCAGUUUUAUUCCACCAUUUGUUUCUCAAUUUCAGAAUCUUGAGGUAUUUUUGAAUCCUUUUGGUUUUAAUCUGUUAACCAAAUUACUAGAGGUGGGAAGUUCCUUUGUUGCAUUAAACUUACACUUUUAUUGGGCUUGUGACCUGUUUUUUUUUUUAUUAGAUUAGGGAUUCUGUUAUGGAAUACUAUAAUUGUAGGUUGUUUGUGCCUUUUUAAUUUUCAUGAACACAAACUAAUGUUUUACUCUUUUUACAGGAUGUUGCCACCUGAAACCAUGGUGGGCCCCUUCAAACCCAACCUCAUCUGGAAACCAACAUCUCCAAAGGUUAAUUUCCUGAAACCAAUUAUAUCAAUAUUUAUCCAAAUAUAUAGAAAGCAAUUUUGAUAAGACUUGUUAGUUUUAUAUUCAAGAAAAAAGAUUGCACUAUUGCAUUGUGUUUUCAGUUUUUCCCUUAUUAAAGUUAUGCUUUCAGAACUCUUAUUUAUUACAGCAUUUUAAUUUAGAAAAGUUUACCCAUUACAUUGAUUAUGUAUGGCUUUUGACUUAUGUUUUGUGGUAUGUGUUUGUAUGAGCUGUCAUCACAUGUUAUGGGAAAGACAGAAGAAAUUUUCUUUUACGAAUUAUAUUCAUAUCAAGUCCAAGUGGGGAUCCAGAAAUAGCAAAUUGCUUUCAUUUCAUACUCCAGGUAUGUUUUACCACUAAACCACUCUAUAUUUUGUUGUGUGUCAUAAAUUCAGUGUUGGGUAUGUCAUGUUCAUGUUCAUGUCCUGCUCCUCUUAUUCUUUUACAAUUAGCAUGGUGCUUUAAUUUUAUUUUGAAAAAACUUCCCAUUAAAUCAUUGUACAUUCAAAAAACAUCCGUUUUGCAUUGAAUGUUCAUCAAUGCAUUUUAUUUUUGAAAAAAAAAUCCGAUUAAAGCAUUCCAAAACUUCCAUUUUACGUUGAUUUUUCAAAAAUCAUUCCAUUUUCAGCAUUGCACUUUCACUUUUUCUUUGUUUAACAUCAUUGAAACUUCACUUUUUUCAUCUAUGCAUUUUAUUUUGAAAAAAAAAAUCCAGUUAUAGCAUAAUCAUCCCAUUUUUGUAAAACCAGGUGUCUAUGCCAUUUAAUGACUGGUUUUCCACUUUUCACAGCGGAAGUGGACAGAUGGUUUCUCUUUGCCAGUUUUAUUCCACCAUUUGUUUCUCAAUUUCAGAAUCUUGAGGUAUUUUUGAAUCCUUUUGGUUUUAAUCUGUUAACCAAAUUACUAGAGGUGGGAAGUUCCUUUGUUGCAUUAAACUUACACUUUUAUUGGGCUUGUGACCUGUUUUUUUUUUUAUUAGAUUAGGGAUUCUGUUAUGGAAUACUAUAAUUGUAGGUUGUUUGUGCCUUUUUAAUUUUCAUGAACACAAACUAAUGUUUUACUCUUUUUACAGGAUGUUGCCACCUGAAACCAUGGUGGGCCCCUUCAAACCCAACCUCAUCUGGAAACCAACAUCUCCAAAGGUUAAUUUCCUGAAACCAAUUAUAUCAAUAUUUAUCCAAAUAUAUAGAAAGCAAUUUUGAUAAGACUUGUUAGUUUUAUAUUCAAGAAAAAAGAUUGCACUAUUGCAUUGUGUUUUCAGUUUUUCCCUUAUUAAAGUUAUGCUUUCAGAACUCUUAUUUAUUACAGCAUUUUAAUUUAGAAAAGUUUACCCAUUACAUUGAUUAUGUAUGGCUUUUGACUUAUGUUUUGUGGUAUGUGUUUGUAUGAGCUGUCAUCACAUGUUAUGGGAAAGACAGAAGAAAUUUUCUUUUACGAAUUAUAUUCAUAUCAAGUCCAAGUGGGGAUCCAGAAAUAGCAAAUUGCUUUCAUUUCAUACUCCAGCCUCUCACCCCAAAUAUCAACUUAUACGCUCCAACCCCACUGAAGAGAACUCUUGAAAUAUUCUUUGGUUUGAUCUCAGCUAAUCGAACGUCCAGAAUCUUGAAGCAAAGCAGAGAAAUAACGAGUGAUUUUCAUCCCCUUUUUUCUUCGACAUGUCUGCUUUCACCCAAAUCGACGCCUCUCACAGGCGAUGGUCAUAGUGGACGUAGGGUUAGUCUGAGUCCACUAUUUGUUUCCCAGUUUCACAAUCUUGAUGUAUUUUUGAACCUUGUUGGUUUUAUUUUGUUAUGUGGGAAUGCAACAGGUUCUUCUAAGUUCCGAGCUCAUACAGAUAGGUUCUGAAGAGCGUUUAUUGCUAAUUACAGAGAUAUUGUUCAAGAAUCUUGAUUUGGACAUGAAGGACAGGGUUAGGAAAAUUGAAGGAAACCCUGAUUUCUGUUGCUUCAUCUCAACAAAAUACUGUAAAUCAAGGAUGCUUCCAAUGGUAAUGGAUAAGGCAAGGGUAUUAAAGAUAUAUAUAUAUAUAUAUAUAUAUAUAUAUAUAUAUAUAUAUAUAUAUUGUCCAGAAGAGUGUUUCACUAGCAACAAUGUCACUUGUUUUAAAGAUAAGAAACUCUGAAUACUCUGGUUUGAAUAAUGCAAGUGAAUCCCUUAAACAUGCCAUGCAACUUGUUAUUGGGAUCUGCAUCAAUUGAGAAGCUUCUGUCCAAAAGGGGCAUCAACAUAAUCUUUUAUCUCCCUUGUUGAAGCACUGAAGAUGAGUGAUGCAAGAGUAUUAUUGUCAGCUCUUCACAAUGUCAUUCACAUUUUAUUCAAGGUCAUUGAUCUUGCUCCUAAUUGCUGCCUAGAAUCCACCUGAGUCGCUUGUUGACUGUUUUAACUGGUAAGUUAUUGGUGACAUGGGGUCUAUGCAUUUGACAAUUCUAUGACCUUUAUUAUAUUUACCUUUGAUGACGUGUCAAAUACAUGCCAUGCCAUGUAACCUCACCAAAACUUACCGGUUGGUUGGUUAAACGGGGAAUAGAAUGUCACCAAAACUCUAUGAUUCUUGGAUGGAACAGGUGACACAGCAUCAUGUUCUGUUCUGAACUUGUUAACUAAUAAUUAAAUAUUCUCAUCUUAUUACAUCAUUUUUAACUCCUUAAUUUAUAUUAAUUUCCCAGGUGUCUAUGCUAUUUAUAUUUAAUGACUGGUUUUCCACUUUUCACAGUGGAAUUUGACAGGGUUUCUUUUUGCCAGUUUGAUUCAACCAUUUGUUUCCCAAUUUCACAUUUACUUGAGGUAUUUUUGGUUUUAAUUUAACUGAAUUUUACUAGAGCUGUGAAGUGCCUACGUUUCAUUAAACUUACACUU